GUCACGGCCACGUGGGUUCAAGUACCAAUCUGGGUUUUGGCCAGGUUGGAGUCCUGGCAUGUGGGUUCAAGUCCCAAACUGAGGUGCACAGUUUCAACUAGCGACCACGAAGAAACAGUGAUAAGCUAGACCAACUCCCGUUCAUCGUCAACACUGUUGGGGACGUCUUCUGUGCCGUUUCUUUGUGACUUCUGGGGCUCUAACACCUGGUUGGGAGACUACCUUGGAAGCUAUAGUAUCUAAAAUUUAAUAGGGAUAUGGCCAAAAAGGCUGAACGGUCCCAGAGAAAUAUGCAAAAGGCCUGAAUGAUUGCAGUGGCUUUGUUCGUUCAGAGACCACCAAAGAGGAAGCUGGCUUUUCUGGACCAGUCCGGCCUUGGCAGACCACAAGGCCCACGGGUACCCAUACAAGGCCAGUGUACCCUGUGUGGACAAAAGGGGCACCGGAGGGAGGAUUGAGAUUGAUGUGCCCAUUGCAAACAGCCAGGGCACUGGAAGAAGGAAUGCCCCAGAUGCCAGAGAGCGACGGGGACCCCUCGGCCAUUGAUGGUUUUGCAAUCAGAAGACUAAGGGGGACAAGGCCAAAAGUGGCUCUGCCUAGAGAUACCAUCGAUGUAACUAAUGUAGAGCCUCCGUGGUCAUCGAUGUGGCAGGCCACUUGAUAGAAUUUCUUAUCGACACUGGUACAACCUUCUCAGUCUUAGCCCACAGGAUUGGAAACCUUAGCAAUCAUAAGGAAUACGUAAUGGGGUUGUCAGGGAAGAGACACGGGCACUUUCCUGGAACACGUUUUGUGCAAGAUCAAUGGCCAGCUGUUUUUACAUUCCUUUCUGUUUGUGCCUGACUGUCCCAUCCCUCUAAUAGGAAGAGAUUUAUGAACUAAGUUAGGGGUCACUCUGUUUCUUGAGGGGCAAGGGAACCACCCUCAUCACCAAAUGGUUCUAACACAAAGCAAAAAGGAACAGAUAAAAUCUGAAGCUAAAACAGAAGCCUUAGUAGACCCUGGAAUGUGGAAUAUUGAGGUUCCGGGCUUGGCCAAAGAUAUCCAGCCGGUGAUUAUUAAGUAAAAAGGGUUAUAUAGUAUCUAAAUAUAAGGUACAAAUUCUUAAACCUAGGGAAGAUCCUCAAAAAUGUUUGUAAGUAGAUUACCAAAAUAGGAGGCCACUGCUCUGACUAAACUGACCAUAGCUGAUAUUCAGACCCUGAUAGGAAUUUUGGAAGAGGCCUUCUCCCCUAAGCUAAACAAGGAAAAGUAAAACUUUCCAACAUAGGUGAAUGGGUAUGUCAGUCCUUCAAUAUCAAAAGAGGGUCAAGUAAUUUAGAACUUGACUGGUCAAGGAUAAAUAGAAAUCUUAAGUGUCUUUUCUGUAAACACUAGUAAAAAGGGUUUAGGUAAGUGACCUUGAUUUGUUCCAUCUGCCAGAAGCCAAAUUUGAGUCCAACCUCUUGUAACUGAUGGGUUUUAUGGUGUACCUGUCUCAGGACUGAAAUUUUGGAAUGGCAACUCCGAGGUCUCUGUGUUUGUGUGUUCAUAUGUAUCUAUACGUGUGUUGUAGGUGUACGGUACUGCCAAAAAUUAAUUCAUAAAAGAGCUCUACUUAAUUGGCUUUUAAAAAAUUAAGCGCUUAUGUAAAUACCCAGAAAUAGAAAAUAAAAUGGCCAGAAUAAAUUUCAGGUACGUGUCAUCUGGAAAAUAUUCAGUACUAAACUGAUAUCUAGUAUUGAAGGUGGUUAAACUUGUUGGUUUGAUUAAUAUAGGCAUGUCUUUAAAAUCAUCAAUGUUGAGUAUAAUACUUCUGUUGUACCUAGGUUAACUAGGGGUCAAAUAAAACCUUAUUCUACCUGUUAUAAAUUUGUCAACAAGAAAAGUAACUCAAUGUGAAAAAAAACAUUUUUAAGGAAAGUAACAUGCAUGUUUUCAGUAAAAGAAUGUGGGAGGAAUGAGAAAAAAAACUGAAAAAAGUUGUGCAUGAUCAAGAUUUUCUGAGGUUGGAUUAAAUUUAGCUGCAUAAAUGAAUUUUGUUGGGAGUGGGCUGGGACAAGACUAGAUUCGGUUUCUCCCUCCAAAGUUUUCUUGAAAUGCUGCUUUUAACAAGCGAUAGUAUGAGUUUCUUUGCCUUUAAGUGAUUUGUAUUUACUUUUGAGAUCUUUUGUAACUUUGGUUAAGAAAUAAAUAUUGUCUCACAGUGACCUAUGAUCUUAUUUGA